ACUGCAUUUGCAUAACAUUACAUUUUUAUAUAUUUACAUAUUGUAUUUUCUCAUAUAUAUUAUGUUAUGAUCACUAUAAUUAUACUUAUGCAUAAUUGUACAUUUGGAUGAAAUUGGUGUAUUACGAUAAAUGAAUUGUUUGAUUAUUUGAGUUGUGUAUAUACUGUGCUCUGUUUGUGUGGAGUUGGGAUGAAGUGGGUCACCAUGGGUUUGUGAGGACGGUCGAUAAAUAUGGAUCCUGAUGAACUGAUGAAAAUGGACCGUCGGCCGGGUAAAUGGGAGAUCAGCUCCCCGUGUGCACCUGAUGAACUGAUGAAAUGAUGUUGAUGAUAUGGAAAAGAAAAGAGAGAAUGUAAAAAUAAAAUAUUGAGAGGACUGGUCAAGUGAGGAUUAGACCGGUCGGCCAGAUAUGGGGGAUUGGCUCCCCGGGUGCACAUGUUUGAGAGGAUGGGCUGUUUGAGAGGACGGCUCGUCGGGGAUUUAGGUGACGCCACUGACUAAUUUCCACGUGAUGUGAUUAUUUGAAGGUGAUAUUGUUUGUGGGUGCUGAUGUAAUGUCAUAUGAUUGACUGUUGUGUGUUCAUUCAGUAUACUAGGGUGCAUUUGCUUGACUGUAUGUGGUGUGCAUUAUUUAUUAUUAUUCAC
rnacentral:lncRNA from 1 species